CUCCGCGGCCAGGGACCCACCGAGGCCCGGGGCCGGACUGCGGCGGCCACGCUUUAAGCCAGGUCGCGCGGUCUUCCCUUGCACCACUGCCCGCCUGGCCCAGAGCUGGACUGGAGGCAGCGGCCGCCGGGUCCCGGGCGGGGUGUCUCAAAAGACAAGUAGAACCAGGGCAAGGCUCGGCCCAUGCUGUUGGGGGACAGCUUGAAGACCUCUUCAGGGGUCUGGGGAAGCGCCUUGGGCGAGGGAAGCCCACUGCAGCACCCUUCUCAAGUACUGCGGAGAGGGCCGGAACUCGCCAAGGAUGAGGAUAAGUGAGGGUUGCUGAAUGACCAUCUGGUGGGCUGAGUGGUUCCUUAAAUAAUCUCGGAAAUGAUGGUGCACCUGAAUUACUCACACUACCGCUCCUGUCACUCAACUGGCAGUACAGUUUCUUAAAAAAUUCCUUACUUGUGUUUGAAGCCUGACCAACUUCCCAGCAAGACAGUGAGCUCCUUGAGGACAAGAAUCGUGUCUCCUGCCAGCCUUAGACGCAACAACCCACAGAGUAUUAUGAAUCUCAACACUUCCUACUCUGAAGCCUGUCAUAACCUCUGGGACUUGGUCAGGUCCCCCUGAACAUGUACCAUACGCCUUCUUUGUCAGAUUAAAUGUGGUCUAACGUGGCAGUGUAGCUUGA